rnacentral:tRNA from 1 species
UGCCCGGUCGUCUAACGGUAGGACAGCAGCCUUUGGAGCUGUUUAUCCAGGUUCGAAUCCUGGCUGGGCAG